rnacentral:hammerhead_ribozyme from 1 species
AUCUAGCUUAUGAGUCCAAAAUAGGACGAAACAUGAGUCCUGAAU